UUACGUUUGAAUCUGGGUAAUCGCGCAUCUGAGCAUGUCGGGACCGCCGCCCUCUCGCCCCUGCGUCUGUCCCCUGCCUCUUUCCCACAGGGCCGCCCCCCGGUCCUUUGGGGCGGAGAGCAGAGGCUGCUCCUGAGCAGGACUGAGAAGCGGGGAGGAAGGGCUUCCCCUGGAGGACCCCCGGGGCGCUCCCGGAGCCGGAGGAGUUACUGUCACCUCGUGGUUCCUGGUGAAGGGGAUUUCUGACUGCGUCUCGCUCCGUUACAGAACCACGGGAGGGCUGUAAUUAAAUCAAAGCAGAAGGGCGGGGGGUGGGCUGCAGACCACUCACCUUGUGAGGGAGCCCCUCCCAGCUCUGCUCGUCCCACCUGGUGGAGGAGAGAAGGCUCAUCGAGCAGCCUGUCCCGUGUGUGGUUUAGUUUCCAGUGAGCAGCUCGCAGGGUGAGGGUGGCACAUGGAUGAUGGCAGCUGGACGGGUGCACAGGGAGUAUCUGCCUUCCCCGGACUGAGUUUACUACAGAAAUGCGCGAAGCUGGCAUAACUGCCAUGGCUGAGGGGAUGCGACGCCCUUUCGGCCAUCCUCCCAAGGACGUGAGCCAUGCAGAGCUGCAAGGCUACCCUCAGAGGACACCCACAGUGCCUGGAAUCCACGCGCUGGUUUGAUUGCCAUUUGUGGAGAAUUUGUGAAAUCUAUCUCAAUAUUUCAUCAUUCGAUGGCCUUAUGUUUGAAGGCACUAGGAUCAGCCAGUGCUCAGUGGUUUCCUUGUACCCGUUAUUAAAUACCAAGUGCCCGGGAUGCUUCCCAAAGGUUGGGGCAGGGGCUGCUGAGAAACAGAGGGAUUACCCUCAAUCUCCACUAUUUCGGGUAUUUCAGGGACCACAUUAAACCCCACUGAGUCGGGCAGCUGAACAGUUGUCCCCUUCUCCACUCUCUGCCAGCCCCUCCAGGACCUCGGAGAGCAAGUUUCAGGUUGGUGCUAAUGGGUCUCUGUGGCGGCUUCAAGGAAGAGAUUGAGGAGAGAGAGAGUUUCAAAGAAAUAUUAUGUAGUUGGAAAUUGGUAAUAUUGUUUUGGUUUUGCUUUCUUAAAAUCUUUUUAUUUUGAAUAAUGUAGAUUCACAGGAAGUUGCAGAGAACUGUUUGAGGGGUUCCCAUCCUCUUCACGCAGUUUCCCUCCACGGUAGCAUCUUGCACGUCUAGAGAAUGACAUUAAAACAUCGAAAUCGGUAUCGGUGCAACCCACGAGUUUAUUCAGACGCCAGCAGCUAUACAUGCACUCUGUGUGCGUGUGUGUUUUUCUAUAGUUCUGCGCCAUUUUAUCCCAUGUGUAGCUGUGUGUAACCUCUAAUGCACUCCACACACAGAAGUGUUCCAUCGCCAAAAGGAUCCCUGGUCUCCCCCUUCUAGCCAAGCCCACCGGCCCCUGCUCCCUGGCAGCUCCUCACUGGUUUCCGUUUCUAUAAUUUUUUUUUUUCAAGAAUGCUAUAGAAAUGGAAUCAUACGACAUGUAAUGUUUUGAGAUUGGCUUUUUUUCCCACUCAGUAUAAUUCUCUAGAGCUUCCUCCAAGUUGUUGUGUGUCUCAAGAGUUUCUCCUUCCUACUGUUGGCUCGUUCUGCGUUAUGGAGGCUCUACAGUUUGUCGAACCAUUCUCCCGCUGAAGGACAUUGGGGCCAUUUCCAGUUUGGAGUAGUUAUAAGUAAAGUUGUUGUGAAAUUUGAUGCACAAAUUCAUGUGUGAACACACGUCUUCGUUUCUCUGGGAUAAAUGCCCAAGAGUGCAAUUACUGGGUCUAUGCUAAACACCCUGGAAAUAAUUCAACAGGGAAUCAUAAAGCACUCGGAAAGGUCGGAAGAAGGAAAUGAACUGGCUAGGAACCCCAUGACUGGAAUAAGGACACCUCAGGCGUGUGCAGCACACGGCCCGGUCUGCUGGGGUCAUCACAUUGCCGGUCUGAGUGGCGAGACCCUGCCUCAGAGGAUCCGGUGAGAAACUACAAGCAGAGUGCUCAACACAGCAGAUGGCAGUCACUAAAUAAUAAUAACGACAACAGCCAACCCUUCUUGAGCGUUUAUUACCUGCCAGGUGCUGUCCUAGCAGCUCCUAUGUGUUACACUCACUUCAUCAUUGCAACAAGCCAAUGAGGAGGGUGCCAUUAUUGUACUCAGUACACAGACCAAGGUCCUGAGGCACAGGGCACAUGGUAACCUCCCCAGCAUCGCCGGGCUGGGAGCCCAGGGACUAAGAACAGAGGGGGCCCUUACUGGCCCCAGGCCCCACAGGGCCGGGAGCAGGUGAGUUGCCGGAGCCAGGUGGAGCUGGAGCUGUAGGAGGGGCUGCCCAUGAGGAGCUGAGGCCACAGGAAGAGGACACAGCCACUGCCUCGUCAUAACACAGCAAGGGCGGCAUCUGCCAACCCCUCUCUCCUCCUGUCUCAUCUGCGGCUGCCUCCUCCUCCUCCUGUGGGUCAAGCACAGAAAGCACAGGACAGGGAGCCAGGGUGGCCCAGCUGCGGAAGUGGGACCCUCCUAAUGCACCAGGCAGCUGAGGAGAUGGGGGCUCGAAGAGCAGGGCUGACACCCCAAGGCCCUGCUGCGAUCUUCCAGUGGUGCCCCUGCUGUUAGAGAUCUGGCUCAGAGAACUCAGAGGGCCAACCCCUCCUUGGUGAUCCGAGGAGGGUGACGGGGGAGGGCGUCACUGACGGAGGGCUCUGAGCCUCCAGACCCAGGUGAUGGCACAGCCCUGCCAAGCCCAGCGUCCCUCACUCUGCAGAACUCAGAGCACCUUAGCAAAAUCCUCAUUCCUUUAUGUAUCUGAGUAUUUAUUUGGCACUGACUAUGUACCAGGCACUGUACAAGGUGCUGGGGACCGAGUGAAUAACACAGGCCCACUUCCUACCCUCAUGGAGCUGACCCUCCAGCGGGGAACUGGGCAAUAAAUAAGAUAAUUGCAGGUUAUAGUAGGGAUUAGGAGGGAAACAGAUUUAAGGAAGAGCAAGUGCAAACUCCCUGGGGCAGGAACUAGCUUGACUUAUCCAAGCAACAGACAGAAGCCAGUGGGGCUGGAGAGUAAGUGAGAGGAAGGGGGAGAGGUGGGCAGGGGCUGGGUCACACGGGCCUGUGGGCCUUGUAAGGAGUUUGUGUUGUGUUCCCUGAGCCCUGAGAAGCCAACAGAGGGUCUGUGCAGGUGAGGGACAGCACUAAGACGGAGGUGAGAUGAGCGCCUUGCCCUUAUACAGCCGGGAGUGACUGCCCCUCAAUUCUGUGCCCUGAGCGCCUCGCUGGUUUCCUCCUAGUCCGAGCCCUGCUGAGUGAUAUGACUGGGUUCGAAUUUUAGGAAGAUCCCUCUGGCUGCCCUGGGGAGAAGGGAGGAUGGAGGCAGCAGGUUGGUGGGGAAGCGGGGAGACCCCUUAGGCAGCUGUUGCAAUCCCCAGGAUUUAAGACUAUCAAGAAUGAUGGUUAUGGGGUCCACUGACAAGGGGCCCUCCUGCAUAGCCCCACUGGAUGCAGUUCUUACAACUCGUGUCUCCCUGGUUCAGUCACGGGGAAACUGAGGUGCGUCCGAGCUGGGGAGGGAGGGAGCCAGGACUGAAACACUCGGGGACUCGUCCAGCAGAAAGGGGACCCCGUGCCUGGCCCCACCGUCCAGACCCCUCCCUGAACCACGUGCGGCUCUGAGCCGGGGCCGCAUCCCCUCCCCUCCACGUCCCCCCGGGGCUGGCGGAGAAGACAGACCUAGAAAUGUCUCCCCCAGAUCGGCCGCUUCCUUCCCUUUCUCUGGGGGCGAUUUGUCUGCUGAGUUGGGUGGUGGCUCAGAGACAGGCUGACUCUCUGACUUGAGUCUUGGGCUGCCAGCAACACGUCCUGCUGUGUCCAGGGAGGGAAUUCUGUCUGCAGAAGUGAUUUCAAAAGCCUUUUCUCUCAGUCUAUUGACUGAGCAAAUUGCAAAUAUUUUUCUUUUGACUUCGGCAGAGUUAAGUUUUUGCUCUGCAACAGCUCCAACGGUUCAAAGGAACUCUCAUUGUUGGUGCGGAAGACGCCAUACAGACCGUAGUCUGAGCGCUGGCGGGGGCCUCCCGUUGGGUAAAUAUCCACCUGAUUCUUUCCUGUAGAUCUGUGAAUGUAGAGGCCACGGGAAAAGAAAGAAAACAACAAAAUACAACCCCUGCAUUCUCAAAGAAGGAAGGGAUCAUCAAGACAAGCCCCCUCCAGCCCCGGCUUUGCCUGCUCUCCACAACUGUUUUCUCUCUGCGGGGUAGAAGUUCAGUGUUUCUGUCACACCUCCGCCUGAAAGGCAGUUUUCAGAGGGACUGUCUUUGCAUGUGCAAAAGCCCUGGGGUACAUCCAAGAAGGCAGGUGUGGCUGGAGCAUAGUGAGCCUGGGGAAGGGCGGUGAGCAUGAGAGUGGAGAGACAGGAGACAGAUCCUGGAGGCUUUUGUGUGGUAACAAGUGCCAGCUGUUGAUCGAGUGAGCGGUGGGCCUUUAGCCUCUGUCCACAGUCAAAGGAGAACAGAAUUUGGAAUAUUAUUGCUGGCAGAAAAAUAUUCAGGUUUUCUUGUUAAGACGUUGCAAUCAACUCUUAAAUUGUGGUGAUGAUACAAUUGCAAAUCUGUAGCCUAUUUGAAUUCAUUUUAGAAACAUGAGUCAGUGUUUUAGCCGCCAAGAAUAGGUGAUUAGCGCAAAGCCAAGGUGCUCCUCAUAGGACAAUGUGUGUUAAUGAUCCUGCGCACAGAUGUUUUCCAGGCAGUUCUCAAAAAGAACUCACAGCCAGGACUCAUUCAGAGCUGUGGGCUUGCAUGGACCGUUUGGCAUAUACAAGCAUGGUCCCAUUCAGAACAGGCCACAUGGGGCCACUGGGGGACAUUUCCAGAUCGUGGAGACUCUGGCGGGAGUUUUGCUUCCAGGCGGACUUGAGCUUAGGGAGGGUGGCGGCACCAAGUUAAGCCGGCCCCGUGGUGGCCGUGGUGAGGUUAAUUCUGAGGGAAAGACACAUGGGGGAGGGCUUUUAAAAGAGAGGAGGGACAUGGCCUGUCUUAGAUUCCAACCAGCUCCCUCCGUCUUCACGUGGAGGAAGGGCUGUCAGGGGCGAGGGCGGAGGAGCGAGAGCCUGGAGGAAGCCAGUGUCCUAAUCGGGCGAGAGAUGAAGGCACCCGGCCAGAGCGCGACAGUGGCGAGCAGGGGACCGACUUGGCAUGUGGUUGGGGGACUGAAGUCCAGAGACAGAGCAAGGCAACCCUUAGGAUUUUUCCCCGAAACACCAGGAAGCGGCAGCACCAAGAUUUGAACCCAGAGCCCCUGUUCUUCACCACGGCACCGUUUAACCAGUCUCCUGGCAGAGGAUGUUGACUUGUUCCAAUCUGAAAGGUUAUUUUUCACUGUUGUAAGUAACGUUGCUGGGAAUGUCUGUACACACACCCGCGCACCCUCAGGGAGUGGAUGCAUCUCAGAGCCCCACGUCUGUGGUGUCCAGCAUCCCCCAGCCAGCAGCCCAUCCUCCAGCUCAGUGCCGGGAGCCUUUCCUGUUGCAAAGAGCCAGGACUGCCUCUGCAGCAGCUCAACUGGCCUUGAAAGGCGGCCAAGCUCCUUCCAGGAGAGGGGCCCUCUUCAUAGAGGAGUGAGGACCUUCUGCCUAGACCCACGUUAACAAUGCUCAUCCCCAAGCUUCAACACAUUUCCUCACCACUGAUACAGCCGGC
rnacentral:lncRNA from 1 species